rnacentral:rRNA from 1 species
UCCAGCAGCCAUAUCACUCUGCAACGUACAACUGGCAACCGACUGAAGCUAAGCAGGGUGUGAGCCUGGUCAGUACCUGGAUGGGAGACCUCCUGGGAAAAACUAAGGUUGCUGCUGGAA